rnacentral:rRNA from 1 species
GAUAGUGUGAGCAAAAGCUCGUAGUUGAACUUCUGGCUGCGUGCAGGUUUGGCUCUUGUCAGCCUGUUCGUUGUCAUCCGUCUGCAACCUUGUACGUCCUUUAGUGGAUCGGCAGGGGAGUAGACAUUUUACUUUGAAAAAAUAGAGUGUUCAAGCAGAAAUCGAAGAAUACUUUUAGCAUGAACUAUGGGAAGAGGACUCAAGUCCCUUUUGGUUGGUUAUUGGACGCGAGAAUGAUUAAAAGGGCAAGUGGGGGGCGUUAGUUUUUUAUUUUCAAAAGGCAAAAAUCCUUGAUUUUUUUAAAGAAAAUUUUUGGGAAAAUUUU